rnacentral:miRNA from 1 species
UUGGCCUUAUGGUGGCUCUCCGUCUUCUUAGGCAGCAGCACGGCCUGGAUGUUGGGAAGGACACCGCCCUGCGCAAUGGUCACGCGACCUAGAAGCUUAUUUAGCUCCUCGUCGUUGCGGAUGGCUAGCUGCAGGUGG